AGGUUCCUGCCCUACUUGAGUUCUUGUCCUGACUUCCUUCAGUGAUGAACAGCAAUGUGGAAGUGUUUGACAAAUGAAGUCUUUCCUCCCAGUAGAAACCCUAACUAGGGCAAAUUGGUACCAGGAUGGGGUAUUGCUGUGACAGAGGAUUGUGGAAGGCCUUUGGAACUUUGGGCUAGAAGAGCCAUUGAGUGUUAAAAGCAUUUUUGGGGUGUUCUUUGGGAGUUUGGAAGAUGAGAAUGCUGAGCUUCUAUGCAGAAGAUGGAUGCCUGCCUGAUGAAGUUUCAAGGGCAAUUUAAAGAGUAACAGGGCCAUUUGUUAUUUUGAAUUAAUAUUCUGUGGUUCUGGCUGGGUGGGGCUGAAGAUUCAGCUGUGAUUAACACGAUACCAGAACUACCAAAGUGACAUUUUUUCUGUUACUGGGACAACUGAUGUUGGUCUACUGGAGCUAAGGAAUUAGCAGUGAUUAAGAAGAGACCAGCAUCAUUGAGGUGAAAUCAUCUGGGAAGUGUUUUCUGAAAGCACAGAGAAGCUAUAUUCCUGAGGGGCCAUGGUUGUACCCCAUGCUGGCAGACAGACUUGGUCAUGUGUGAGAGUCUCCCAGGUGGCACUGGUUUUGAUGGCAUGAAGGGGUCAUGGAGAGCAGCUGAAGCUUGGAAUUGAGAGAGACCAGCAGAAGCCAUUUUGAAGGUGCAGCCUAAGUGGCAGCUGAAGGCCCAGGACUGAAGGUGUCACGCAGAGAAGUUGAGCUUGGCACCAUGAGGAGAGCCUAUGGGAGGCUGUUGGUGAAGGUGCAGCCCCGUUGCAGCAAGGGACCCCAGUGUUUUGGAGGUGUCAGAAGCAUGGGACGACCUCCAAGACCAGCAGAUCAAUACCUUGCUCGGCCAUCAUCGGAGAAGCUUCCUCCUGUAGCACAUGGGAACACAAACAGUAGAGGCCACAGCCAGACGUUAUGCAGACAGUGAGAGGCCUUGGAACACUCAAUCCUAAAAGGGAUAUCUCCAUCAAAUCCUUCCCUUCAAGGCUCAAGGAACUUGCUGUGGAAGAGGCAGAAAGAGUGUAAGAGCCAGAGGGAACGGAGGACACAAAGAAAACAAGGCCCUCUAAGACUUUAGAACUUAAAGGAGAAGUGGACACAUGCCCUCAUCCCUAACCCAGAAGCAAUCUCCAACUGAUAGUCACUUGCAAAUGAGAAUUUAGUUUUCUCCAAGAGAGUCUCACAGGAAGAAGAAAACUACUCUUAAGCUCAGGCUGCAUGUCCAGCAGUAGAUGUCAACAGUAAUGACAUCUUUGGAGGUUCCUUGUCUCUCAAUGUCAUUUCAGGGCUCUGCCACCGCCCCUUUUAAAAAUUUUUUAUCUUAUGUGUGUGUGUGUGUUUAUUUUUAUCCUACAGUUUUUCGUUUUGCAUAUGGAGCAUGGCAUCCAGUUUAGUUGUUUCUUCUCUUGGGCUCUUUUUAUUGUUUGUUUUGUCCAAUUCUGAAAUUUAGUUUUUGUUUUAUCUAGUUAUAUUUUAUUGUCUCUUAGAAACACAUUUGUUUUCUAGUGAAAGACCAAAAGGGAAGUGGGUUUUUAGUGGGAGGGGAGGUGGAGAGGAGUAGAGGGAGGGGAAACCAUGAUCAAGAUAUAUUAUGUAAGAAAAAAAAUCUACACAAUAAAAGAAAGAAAAAAGAAGAGGAGGGGACGAGUUAGAAAGGAAAGAGAUGUGUUGGGUUGGAGUCAAGGUGGCUUGGAGGGAGGGAGUAGGGGGUGGAUAUGCGUGAAAUUUUUGAAGAAUAAAUACUCAAUUGGCUUGACUCCUAAAAAGAAAUAUUUAUGAUGACUUAAAUAAAAACAAUAUUACAUAUUGAUAUAUAUGCAUACUCAAAUGGAGACACACUUUAGUGACAAUGGGAUUUUUGAAAAGAAAUGUAGCUUUUACUUUAUGUGCCUGAGUGUUCUGAUUGUGUCUGUGUACCAUGUGUAGUCAGUGCCUACUACAGAGGCCCAAAGAUGGCAUCGGAUCCCCUGUGACUGGAAUUGCGGGUGGUCGUGAACUGCCACGUAGGUGCUCGGAUUUGCAUCUGGGUCCUCUUAGCUUUGGAGCUUUCUCUCCAGCCCCUUUAAUCACAACAAAAAUAACUAUAACAAUAAAUGCAUUUAUCUUAUAUGACAAAUAUGACAUACCAUUCUACAAACAAACUGGGUUUUACUUUAUUGUUUUUUUAAAUAAAUAGAUGUUUUUAAAGAUGAAAA